CAGCCGCCGCGGGAAUACGUAGGGUGCAAGCGUUAAUCGGAAUUACUGGGCGUAAAGCGUGCGCAGGCGGUUCGCUAAGACAGAUGUGAAAUCCCCGGGCUUAACCUGGGAACUGCAUUUGUGACUGGCGGGCUAGAGUAUGGCAGAGGGGGGUAGAAUUCCACGUGUAGCAGUGAAAUGCGUAGAGAUGUGGAGGAAUACCGAUGGCGAAGGCAGCCCCCUGGGCCAAUACUGACGCUCAUGCACGAAAGCGUGGGGAGCAAACAGGAUUAGAUACCCCAGUAGUCCCUGUCUCUUAUAA
rnacentral:rRNA from 1 species